rnacentral:rRNA from 1 species
AUUGGAGGGCAAGUCUGGUGCCAGCAGCCGCGGUAAUUCCAGCUCCAAUAGCGUAUAUUAACGUUGUUGCAGUUAAAAAGCUCGUAGUUGAAAUGAAGGGUAGUUGUGUAAUGAAUACAUUCGUGUAUUUUGUUAUUCUACUACCCUCCUUCUAAAUUCGAUAUAUGAGUAUUAAUUUACUUGUAUAUGGUUUUAGACCUUUACUGUGAGAAAAUUAGAGUGUUCAAAGCAGGCAUUUGCUUGAAUAUAUUAGCAUGGAAUAAUCAUGUAUGAUUUUCAUGAUGUAUUUGAUUGGUUUGGUUCAUGAGAAUAAGAUUAAAAGGGACAGUUGGGGGUAUUCAUAUUCAAUAGUCAGAGGUGAAAUUCUCGGAUUUAUGGAAGAUGAACAAGUGCGAAAGCA